AAUGCAGUUUUCAGGGUCAUCUUGUAUGUGGAGACAUCUGGAAACAAUUGCUUUAUUAAACUGCUCUGGGAUUCAGACUCGUGUUGAGCGUUGUGGAGUUUAAUCCUGAACAGACACCAACUCCUGACAUCUUGAAUGUGCUGCUUUGCACACCAGAGGAAGAGAUGGAGAGAUCACUGCCAUUUGGAAAACGAGUGAACAGAUAUAAGACUGCCUCUACUGGACACACUAAAGCAGACACAUGGGUUGAAGGUUUGGAUGGUUAUAUGGUCCAGUUCGCCCCUGCUGGCAGAUAUGUUUGGAGUGUUUCUUCCAUCUGAAAUCUGACCUGAGAUGUUGCCAAAGUCAGUUCAGCCCAGGACCUGAUGGAAAACAUGGAAAUGUGUUUGUGAGAUCUGAUACACCUGCUCAUAUCUCUGAUCUCUGUUCAAAAGUGUAUUCUGAUUAAACCAUUCUUUGGAGUGCUCCUAUAAAGCUAGCUUGUGUUUUUCC